rnacentral:lncRNA from 1 species
AUAAAAUCUGUUUACUAACUAGACGAACCCGAACCAAGUUUUUCACCAAUUCGACUCGAGCUCGUUUACUUGAGGAUCUGCUUGAGUUAAAGUUAACCUCGUCUAUAGCUAAUACUCAUCGUGUUUAUCCCCAAGUUUCCAAUUAAAGGUGGGGGAGCAUACCUCUCCCUUGGCCUCCUCCGUCAACCCCUUCGAUCUCCUCGAUGACCAAGCAGAGGAGGUCAUCCUCCGUCAACCUCUUCGAUCUCCUCGAUGACCAAGCAGAGGAGGUCAGUCCAUUUUCUUUAUACAAAAACACAUACACAAAACUAUAAUUAUAACAAUCAAAGAUAGUCAACAUCGGAUCAUCAUCUACGAUCUCACCCUCAACAACCAGCCCUUGUUAAUCACUUGUCAAUGCACCUAAUUUAUCAGAUUCCAGUUUUGAGUCCGCGUUUCUCGCUCCUCAAUCUCGCCGUCAAAGAUGAAACGUAUGCGUCUUUCGUUCAUUUAUUUCCCAGUUGAAUGAAUUUCUUUUUGUUUGAUUAAAUUAUGAUUAAUUGCUGUAGAUUAUAAUGAUUUGUUUGAUUUUAAUUAAAUUUUUUGUUUGAUUUGUGCCUUGCUGAGUAAUCGGUUGAUAAUCUGAGUUUAUGGUUUUACGGUCGUGUGCGAGAGAGAUAGCGUAGCAGUGGUGACGGUGGCGAUGGCUGAGGGUUGCGGCGACGGCAGUUCUAGGCAUACGCCUCCAGAAAGGAAAGCGUUAAAUGUGCCUUAAUUGAAGGCGUUAUUUGUGCCUUAUAAUUGAGGGCGUUAUUUGGGCCUCAUAAUUGAGGGCGUAAAUCGUGCCUCAUAAUUGAGGAUGUUAAUUGUUCCUUAUUUAAAAAGGCUUUAAUGUGUCUUAAUUAAGGACAUUAAUAUUUUAUUAAUUGUGCCUUAAUUAAGAGUUUAAUUGUCUCAAUUACGAGUUAUCAUAAUUGUGUAAAUAUUUUU